rnacentral:lncRNA from 1 species
UUAUAAUAAUUAGCAUUUGUCACACUGAUUGCACCAAGAUUGAAUCAUAAUUAGAUGGACGAAAAAAGUGAAAAAAUAUCUUCAAGAAAUGACGUUUCAAUUCAAGAAAAUUCACACUGAUAUUAGAUUUUUAUGUACAGUACAACCAAACUAGUCACUUGAGAUAGUGGUUCAAAGUUUUUUUUUGUUGAAGAAGCUAAAUGCACUAGGGAAAAUCGAACAUGAGACCUCGAGGAUGAGCACACUCCCAGGUCUCAAAUCAAUGCCACUAGGCCAAUCCAAGUGGGUUAGUGUGGUUCAAAGUUUGAUUCCUUAAUUGAGGAUUCAGAUUGUAAUGGGUUCAGUAAUAUGAGUCUUAUACUUCCAAAACUUGAAUUCUCCACUCACAAAGUCAUAGUAACCCCCCAAUAGUGCUAAGUUCUUGUUCCUUAUUUCUGCAUCAACAUAUGGAUAUGUCUGAAGGUUCACUAAUGAGUUAUUCACUGAUUCCUACAUAUAUAAAAUGGUAACUAAUUAAUAAUUGAAAUUUUGAAGUAUGGUUGCUGAAUGGAAAUUAAAAUACACUUGCAACUUAAUUAGCUAACCAUUUCACAAAAUUCACAUUGUUGCUCGAAAUCACAGAAUUUAUGUUCUUUCAGGACCUUGACUUUAGAAGGUAAACCAAUUUUCACCCAAUCAUCUAUGAAGUCACUGCAUAAUCAUUCAAUUAAACCAUAACAAAGGUUAAGAUUCACAAUUUUUGUGCAUUUUAGUUUAUGUAAAUGUUAUGUAGAAUUCAAGCCUUACUAUGGAGCAGAACCAUCCUCUGGAUGACUCAUAAGCCUUGAUAUACCGCCGCAGCGACUAUGUCCAAUAACCAAGAUGUUCUCCACCUGAAAAAGGUAAUUGAUUUUUAUCGAAACAAAAGUAUUUAAAUUUUUUUCUGUGAAAUAAUGGCAAAAUUAUGAAUAUAUUGAUGCAGCCUUGACCGCAACCACAUUAUGGUUGUAGAGACAUCAGAAACCUUAAUAUUGCGGUCACACACUAAUUUUAAAACACAUAUGAACAAAAGCUAAACAUUACCUUUAGAGCUGUAAUAGCAUACUCAAGGGUUGCACCAACUCCACUGUAUCUUAACUGUGGAAUAGAAAUUUAAUUAUUAAAAACUCUUCAAUAAUGUGUAUAUCAUAUAGAAAUUCAUUUCUUUAGAAAAAUAGUGAAGUAGACCUGAUUAAAUGGAGGGACCAUGUUAGCAAUGUUUCGGACCAUGAAAGCUUCUCCAGGUUGAAAGUUCAGGAUAAUAGAGGGACUCACUCUAGAGUCAGAACAAGCAAAUACCAUAAACUACAACAUGUAAAUGAAAUUGAAAAUUAGAUUAAUAUUAAAGGACAGAAAAAAUAGAAACAUAUACUUUUGUAUAAAUCAAGCUCGAAAUAAUUAAUCACCUUGGGGGAUUGUCCUUUAGCAAGUCGAUCAUACAAUUUCCGGUCCUUGCUGUCAUAUAUAAAAGGAAGCAUGAAUGAAUCCAAAAAAUUUAAGUACUUGAUAAUUGAAUUUGAACUUUCUAUAGGCAUGAUAUGAAUUUUAUAUUUAAUUUGUAAGUUUACUCGAAAUUGUUGAGCUUGAAGUAAGUAAAACCAUCAAUGAUUCUCUGCUCAGCAGGAUCAAUUGGUUGUGGAUGACAUCCCUGCAACUCAACUAUAAUUUCCUCAAUUUUUGCAGUGGCCACCUCAUUAAGUUCCUCUUUCUCUCUGUAACCAAUAAGUAAUACUAUAUGUUAUAUAAUUUAUGUAUCAUUAAAUUGAAUUAUGUGUGCAUUUUUAUUUCUUGUUAGAAAAGUAAUCAACCUGAGAAGCUUCUUCAGUUGUUCAAUGGCUAGCUCAGAUGAUUGAUUUGCCAUAACUAUUCCUUUCUGCAGGUUGUCAAAAAUUGCAAUUCAUUAAUAUGAACUACCUAAAGAGUCAAUUAACAAUUUUCCUAGUAAAAUGCAUGAUAUUGUAUUUUUUUUUUUACAAAGUAAAAUAUACGGAAGCAAGGCUUAUGAAUUGAAGGAAUUUGUGGUGAAGAAUAGAUAGAUACUCCUAUGCAGUGAGGUAAUUUUAGCAAAUUACUCUUGGAUUUUGUUGUGUUUGCUCUUGUACCAAUGCUAUAUCUUAUUUAUAAACGAAAACUAAAUAUAUAAUACUAGUAGUAUGUAAUGUAUGUAGUAUAUUAUCAAUAUCAUUAUUUGGUUUACUGGAGAAAUGUAGUAGAUUAUAAAGCACAUCGAAAGUCAAAUUUUUAUUUUUAUUUUUUUAAGAAAAAAGUCAAAUUUUUAUGUUUAUACCAUUUAAUAAUUCUUAUGUAAAAUGACCAUUCAAAAAUAUUAAUUCUUUUGUAAAAUGUGAUUGCACUGUCCCUGGAACGAAAACUCAGGUUCAAUAUAGGUUCAUGUACACAAUAUUUUUAAUGAAAAAAAAGACUUGAUUUGAUAUAUUAGUUUUUUUUUUUAAGUCAUACAUCAAGGAAAGUUUUUUUUAUGUGUCAAUUUGUUUUAAAAAUUUCAUACAUUAAAUCAUGUCUUUUCUUUUAUCUGUCAAACAAACUCAUACAUUAGAUCAAGUCUUUUUUUAUUUGUCAAUUUGUAAAUAAAAAAGCUUCUUUUCAAUAAGAAAAGUCAAGUCGUUUUUUUAUUCAAAAAAUCACUUUCAUUUUUGUCCAAAAAAAAUAAUUGACCUCUUCUUUUACAAAUUGAUAAAUAAAAAAGGACUUCCUUUAAAAAAUAAAGAUAAAAGUGGACUUGAUUUUUUUAAUGAAAAAUAAUAAUGUAUGAGUUUUUUUUAAUAGAUAGACAAAAUGAUAAUAGUCAUUGCAAACAUACAAUUACAAGUGAAGAAUCCGAAGUUCGAGUCUUGAAUUCACGUAUCCUCCAUUUAAAAAAUGCUCUCUAUUUACUUCAUUUAAGUCAUAGAUGUAAGACAUGUGGCAAAAACAUAUUUAAGGGUUGAGAUUUAAAAAUAAAAGGUCAAUUAUUAAGUAAAACUACAUCCCAUGAAUUGAGAAAUUUGCGUUUCAGAUUUGCAGUAAAAACUGAACAUGAGAUUGAUCCCCAGCAUUAUACAAUAUACUAAUAUUUCUUUGCGUUCUUCAAGUUGCUGCAUCAAAAAUUAAAAUUCAAUGAAAGCGGGUUUGCGCUGUGAUAGAUUGGGUGAUGACGGCGACGACCACAACGAGAGAGAAAAAGGGUAGCUAUGGGAGAAAGGGGAAAUGUUUUUAAUUUAAUUAAAAAUUACUUGUUUUUAAAAUUUAUAUCUGAGUCCUGGAUUAAUGUUUUGUCACAUGUCUCACAUCUAUGACUUAAAUGAAGUAAAUGGAUCAUUGUGCAUACCUGGACUCUCAGUCUUGAUCAACAUCCGAUCUAACAAAAUAUUUUUACCAGCUGAGCAAGAAUUUGUAUAUUGUAUGCUUCUUUUGUAUACAUUAGCAAUAUGAAAUAAUUUUACAAAGACAUCAAAUAAUAUCUCUAUAUUUAGAUAUAUUAUAAUAUUAAUGAUUAAAUAUCUCAAUAUUUCAUUUUAGUUCCUCUAAAAUUUUUCUUAGAUUUUUAGCCCCAAAAGUUUCCGGUUCACAAUUUUGGUCUCUGCUUUUAAGUCAUGUCAUGUGUACCCUUCAAUUUUUUAAUGAGUUUUUGUAGGAAUGAUUAAAAUAUUAUAAGAAUCUCUCUAAAAAUUGAUUUUUUUUUUUAACAAAACAUGAAUUAAAUAUGAAUUUUGAUGCGCAAAAAAAACAUAAAAAUUCAUAUUUAAUUCAUGUUUUGUUAGAAAUUUGAUUUUUUUGGGUUAGAUUCUUAUAAUAUUCUAAGCACGAUUUCGAAAAAAUUCAAAACUUUGAAUGAUACGCACGAGUUGGCUUAAAAGCAGAGAACAAAAAUGAUGAUGAAAGACUUUUGGAAGACUAAAAGUCGAAGAAUUUUUUUUGAGGAACUAAAACGAAAGUUGAGAUAUUUAUAUAGAUCAAAAACAUAUUUAAUCAUAAUAUUAUUCUUUAAAUAGCUUCCCAAAAUAAAAUAGUAAAAUCUGAUUAAAUAAAUCAGUCAACUUUGUACUCGUCAUGUUUUUUUAAAGGAUUUUCGUCAUGUUGAAAGUAUCAAUAUGUAGCUAUUAGAAGAAACAAUUUUUUUUUAGAUAAACGAAAUGACAAAAUCAUUAUAAACUCACACAUAAGUGAGAGAGUGAGGUUCGAACCCAAAUCAUGACGUCUAACCUAACAAAUUCAAUAUUUUUUUACCAGUUGAGCUAGGACAUGUGGACUGAAGAAACAAUAUUAUGUAUGAUAUAUCUAAAUAUUGAGAUAUUAUUUGAUGUCUAUGUACUUUAUCCAUUUCUUCGUAAGCUAUUAGUUUUAAUGUCAGUGCCCAUGUCAUUGAUGAUGGUCAGAACUGGUCUAUAAUUAAACAACUUCUUCCUACUCACAUUUGCACCAACAUUGGAAGUCUCAUAAACCUCUUUCCACGAGGCAUGAUGAAUUUUCAAUAUGGAAAUUUUCUAAGAGAAAUGCUAUAUCUCGCGAGAGAUAAUUCACGACAACAUCAUGAUUGCAUGGAUCUCUCACACACCGCUUGCAUUUUAAGGCUAGAUUUUUCCACCGCUAACAAACCUUCAAGAAUUCUGCUCAUUAUUCAAAUGGUUCUCAGGGGCGGUUCCUCUCAAGAGGAUGGGAUAGCCUUUGCUACCCAAAAAUAAAUUAUUCUUGAAUUAAUUUGUAUAAAAUUACAUUUAGCUAUCCCAAAUAAAUUCGGUUUGCCAAAAAUUAGCAUAAAUAAGAAAAAAAAUUGCUACAUGAUUGACAGAUAUAUUUAUACGGGUUUGAUUGAUACUUUCUGUCUCAAUAACAACUAUAGGUAGACAAUAUUUCAACAACAAUAGUUAUAAACAAAUUAAAAGGACAAUAAGUUUUUGAAAAUUACCUGUUUCUUUACAUUGAAAAACAUUAAUAAUCUAUUUAUUAAACAGUCAAUUAUGGAUAAAAUUGACUUCUUAAAAUAUGUUUUGCCCAAAUUUUUUAAAUACUUUUGUCAAUUUUAUUUCAUUUGUUGUUGCUAUAAUUUACACUUCAUAUAAGUAAAAAUUGUUGCGAAUUGUUUUACAUAAUUGUUAAGUUUCGAAUUAAAUUUGUUUUUGUUAUCUAUGACUCGCAAUUUUUAAGUUAAAUGUCCAAGAUUUUAUUUAUUUUAUUCCUUAAUUUAUUGUUAUAGAUAUUAAAUGCAAGACUAAAAAACACUUUUUUUUUUUGUAAAAUUUUAAAAAGCUGAGACAAAAAUUGAAUAAAUUUUUUGUCAGGAUUAAACUUAAAAAAUUAUAAGCUAUGGGAUUAGAAAUAUAUUUUAUCCUUAAGUUUCAUAUGUUGAUUUUAAAUUUUUUUAUUUUCUUUAUUUUUGGCCCCCGCGUAGAAUUUUCGCUAGCUUCGCCGCUGAUGGUUCCGCUCAUUCCCAAAGUAAAUGACCAAAAUGUCACUACAUGAGUUAACUUGCGUGAGUUAACUCACGCUAGUGUAAAUUAAAAAUAUGAGUUAAAUUAAUAAACGUGAGUUAUUAAUUUAUGUUCAAUUUUUUUAAGUUUACACUAGCAUGAGUUAACUCACGCUGCGUGUUUAAAUAAUGAGCAUAAUUCAACCUUCAAUUCAUGCUAAAGCUUUAUCACACCUACCAGCUAUAUAUAUAUAUAUAUAUAUAUAUAUAUAUAUAUAUAUAUAUAUAUAUAUAUAUAUAUAUAUAUAUAUAUAUAUAUAUAUCAUUAGCCACAUUUACAUACACGUAAUGUUUCUACAACUAUAUAUGACCAUUGCACCUUUUAGAACCACCUUAAAUUUCUACAUGUGGCUCAAUUAUAGAGAGAAAAUCCUUCCACAAUUUGGAGUAUAUAUUUUUUUAGGGUUAAAUAUAUUUUUGGUUCUUAUAAAUAUACCAAUUUUUCGUUUUAAUCCUUCUAAAAUUUUCCUUCAAUUUUUAGUCCCUAUAAAAUUUUGAAUCACUACUUUUGGUCCCUAUUUUAAAGUAAAUUUUAGUAUUUAUUAAUGAAAUUGUACAUAAAUGUGUAGAAUAUUGUAAAAACAUUUCCAAAAAAAAAAUUAGAAUUUUUUAAGUAAACAUAAAUUAUAUAUGAAUUUUAACCAUAAAUAAUAUAAAAUUUCAUAUUAAAUUCAUGUUUUGUUAAAAAAUUCUAAUUUUUUUGGCAGAGAUUAUUAUAAUAUUAUGAAUUUUUAUGAAAAAUUUGAUUCAAAAAUAUGAAUUCUACAUAUGAGUUUACUUUAAAAGAGUGACCAAAAGUGAAGAUGGAAAAUUUUUUAGGGACUAAAAGUUGAAGGAAAAUUUUAGAGGGACUAAAACGAAAAUUUGAUAUAUUUAUAGAGACCAAAAACAUAUUUAACCCUAUUUUUUAUUUAUUAACAAUUAUUGUAUGUUUUAUUCAUGUGUCAAUUAUAACUUUGUUGAUGCACCGAAAAAAAGAGUGAGAAAUCAGUUAUCCACUGCUAAUUAACAAUCAUAUCAAUCUCGGGAUAAUUUUUUUCGGGAAAUUUAACAUUUUCCAUUUUCUAAUAAUGGUUCUUUACUACUUCCUCCCAUCCUUUAUAUAAGAAAAGAAACAAAAAAUCAUCAAACCAAGACAAUUAUUAGUUGUUGCAAUUUUUUGAAUGUUUGUACAAAUAUACCCUCUUAAAAUUUUUUGAGGUAUUAAAUAUACACACUAAUAUUGAAAAGACCAACAUUAAAUGAAGGUUAGAAAAAUCUUUUUUAUUAUUGAGGAACCCAACGUUAUAGUGUCUCCUAAUUUCAACAAUAGUGUGGAAAUGGGUAGGUUCUCCUAUGUUAGAUACUUAUGUUUGUCCAAGAUGCUCUCAAGCACCGGAAACCAUCAUGCAUGCACUUAGAGUCUGUGAUUUGGUUAAGAAUGUGUGGGAUGAUUUUUUUAUCAAUGGAUGAUGAGAAGUGGAGCUCAUCCUGAAUGGAUCAGUUUUUACCUUAGUAUAUAUUGGCUCGACUCGAGGGCAAUGAUCACUGGUUUUUGGUGUCAUGGUUAAUAUGUUAUGGCUUGACAGGAACCAAAUAGUUUUAUCAGGAACAUCCCUUAAUCUUCGAGCAAUUCAUGCAUUCUUUUGAUAGUCGAUUUCCUUCCAUCCAUCAUCAUUAAUAUCUUCGGCAUCCUUCCGAUAUAUGUUAUUUUUAAAAAUAAAUUUUGAGUCCAUGAAGCAAACGCCCCUAAAAAAUUAUAAUAAUAUAACUUUAACAUACCCUCUAUUUUCUUCACUAAUGGUCAUUGCCAACUUAAUAUCUGUAAAUUUAGUAACAUGUAUGAUGAUCUUUUAAUUUUUCCCUCUCAAAUAUAGUAUUCUUAAAUACAUUAUUUUCAAAAUCUCUCAAAGACUGAUAUUAUUUAUUUAAUUAGAACUUAAAAGUACAUAAUUUUUUUAUUAGCCUAGAGACCAACACAUACUCAAAUAAACACGGAAAGAGGAAACUAUAGUUAUUUCAAAUUCUACAUAAAAUAUCCUCACAACCAAACUAUUAGACAAGAACAACCGGGAACAAAAAAGUACAUAAUAAAAAGAACUAGUCACUUGAGAGUUGAGAUAGUGGCUCAAAGCUUGAUUCCUUGAGGAUUUUGACAGUCAUGUCAAGGUCUUUUAGAGGGGAUUGUAAUGGGUUUAGUGACAUGGGUCUUAUACUUCCAGAGCUUGAAUUCUCCAUUCACAAAAUCAUAGUAACCUCCCAAUAGUGCUAAGUUCUUGUUCCUUACUUCUCUAUCAACAUAUAGAUAUGUCUUCAGGUUCACUAAUGAAUUAUUCACUGAUUCCUUUAUAUAUAAAGUGGUGACUUUUGUAAAAAAAAAUAUAAAGUGGUGACUAGUUAAUAUUUAAAUAUUUGAAGUAUGGUUGCUGAAUGAAAAAUAAAAGUAUAUAUAAUUGAAACUUUAUUAGCUAACCAUUUCACAAAAUUUGCAUUGUUCUUUGAAAUCACAGCAUUCAUGUUCUUUCAGAACCUUGACUUUGAAAGAUAAACCAAUUUUCACCCAAUCAUCUAUGAAGUCACUGCACAUUUAUUCAAUUCAACCAUAAAAAUUAAGUGCAAAUAUUAACAAUUUUAUUUUAGAUUAUUGUUAUGUAGAAUUCAUGUCUUACUAUGGAGCAGCCAUCCUCUGGAAGGCAUAAGCCUUGAGAUUCCACCGCAGCGACUAUGUCCAAUAACCAAGAUGUUCUCCACCUAAAAAUAUUAAUUAAUUUUUAUCCAAAAAACAAAGUAAUGAUUUUUUCUUUUCUUUUAGAAAGUUAUGGCAAAAUUAUGGAUAUUGAUGCAGCCUCAAUCACAGUCACAUUGAAUUUAGAUACCUUAAUAUGUCACAUUCACGAACAAAUUUUAAAACACUUAUGAAUAGAAGCGAAACAUUACCUUUAGAGCUGUAAUUGCAUACUCAAGGGUUGCACCAACUCCCACUAUAUCUUAACUGUGGAAUAGAAAUUUAAUUAUUAAAAACUCUUCAAUAAUAAUUUAUAUAUCAUAUAUCAAUUCAUUUGUUUAGAAAAACAGUGAAGUAGACCUGAUUAAAUGUAGGGACCAUGUUAGCAAUGUUUCGGACCAUGAAAGCUUCUCCAUGUUGAAAGUUCAGGAUAAUAGAGGGACUCACUCUAGAGUCAGAGCAAGCAAAUACCAUAAACUAAAACACAUAAGUGAAAUUGAAAAUUAAAUUUCUAAUAAAUUAAAUGAAACAAAAAGAGAUACAUACAUUUUUGUAUAAAUCAAACUCUAAUAAUUGAUCACCUUUGGAGAUUACCGGAACUCAUAAACCAUGAAUCCGGGAUAUAAAAGACUUGAUAUUGAAUAUGAACUAACUAUAGGCAUCAUAUUAAAAUUUUAUUUAAUUUUCAAGUUUACUCGAAAUUGUUGAGCUUGAAGUAGGUAACUAUUAUUCUCUGCUCAGCAGGAUCAACUAUAAGCUGCUCAAUUUUUGCUGUGGCCACCCCAUUAAGUUCCUCCUUCUCUCUGUUACCAAAAGAAAGAAUUUGCAGUGUUUGCUAUAUCAUUAUUUGAUUUACUGCAGAAAUGUAGUAGAUUAUUAUAAAUACAUCAAAAGUCAAAUUUUUAUGUUUAUACCAUUUAAUAAUUCUUUUGUUAAAUGACCAUUCAAGAAAUAAUAUUUCUUUUGUAAAAUGUGAUUACACUGUCUUGAUAAAAAAAAAAAAAAAAUGUGAUUACACUGUCACAGGAACGAAAGCUGAGGUUCAAUAUCGGUUCAUGUACACUAUUUUUAAUUAAUGGAAGAGAAAAAGACUUGAUUUAAUGUAUUAGUUUUUUUUUUUUUUUUUAACUCAUACAUCAAAUACAGUCUUUUUUUAUUUGUCAAUUUUUUUUAAAAAGACCUCGUUUUUUUUUUUUCAUUUGUCAAACAAACUCAUACAUUAAAUCAAGUCUUUUUAUAUUUGUCAAUUUGUAAAUAAAAAAGCUCAUACACGUAGACUCUUAUUUUUUUCAAUAAGAAAAGUCUAGUCGUUUUUUUCAUUCAAAAAAUCACGUUCAUUGUUUGUACCAAAAAAAAAUUGACCUCUUCUUUUACAAAUUGAUAAAAAAAAAGGACUUCUUCUAAAAAUAAAGAUAAAAAAGGACUUGAUUUUUUUAAUGAAAAAUAAUAAUAUAUUUAUGAGAUUUUUUUUUGGGUAGAUAGAAUCCGAGGUUUGAGUCUUGAUUCCGACGUCUGAUCUAACAAUUUUAAUAUUUUUACCAGGUGAGCUAGAAUGUGUGUACUAUAUAAGUUUAUUUUGUAUGCAUUAGCAAUAUGAAAUAAUUUUACAAAGACAUCAAAUAAUAUAUCUCUAUACUUAGAUAUAUAAUAAUAUUAAGGAUUAAAUAUGUUUUUGGUCUUUUAAAUAUCUCAAAGUUUCAUUUUAGUCCCUCUAAAAACUUCGAUUUUUAAUCCCCCAAAAGUUUCCAGUUCACAAUUUUGAUCCUUUCUUUUAAGUCAUGUUAUGUGUACCCUUCAAAUUUCCUCUCUACAAAACUUGUUUUUUUUUUUAUUUUAACAUAACAUUAAUUAAAUAUGAAUUUUGAUGCGCCAAAAACACAAAAAUUCAUAUUUAAUUAAUGUUUUGUGAAAAAAUUCGAUUUUUUUAAGAGAUUCUAAUAUUAUUCUAAACAUGACUGUGAAAAAAUUUAAAAUUUCGAAUGAUACACACGAGUUGGCUUAAAAGUAGAGAACAAAAAUGGUGAUGAAAGAUUUUUGAGGGACUAAAAGUCGAAGAAUUUUUUUAGAAGAAUUAAAAGGAAAAAUUGGGAUAUUUAUAUUGACCAAAAGAAUAUUUAACCAUAGUAUUUAUUCUUUAAAUAACUUCCCAAAUAUCAAAAUAAUGAAAUCUGGUUAAAUAAAUCAGCUAUGGCUCUGUUUGGUAAAAAUAGUGGAUGACUGAUAAGGUAGCUGAUAGCUUAUAGCUUAUAACUAUAACUUAUGGCUGAUAGCUGAUAACUUAUAGCUGAUGGCUUAUAGCUGAUGACUAGUAGCUGAUAAGCUAUUUGAAGUGUUUGGUAAAAUUAGCAGUUCAAUUAGCUGAUAGAUGUAAAAUUACAUAAAAGGAUAUUUUUAAUUCAUAAUAAAGUUAAUAUCAAUUAAUGUUUAAAGUAUUUAAAAAUUAAAUUUUUUUAAUUUAAUAUUAUAAUUAAAUUAAUUUUUAAUUCCUAAAUGUUAAUUUAUAUUUAUUUUCAUUUGCCUAAAAAAAUUAGAUAUAAAGUGUAAAAAUUUUUAAACGUAACAAUAAAUAAAAUAUAGUUUGUACAAAAUAUAUAUAUAUAGUGAAGGUAAACGUAACGUUCUCAUUUUUUUUUUGUUGGAGAAAAUUAUUGUCUUUGUUCUUAUUCUCUACAAUUCUGGUAUAUCACACAAAAAUAACGUGUCAUUUCGCAAAAAAAAAAAAAAGGUGACAUUAAAUAUUGAAAUAGUCCCACAAAAAAAACUUAAACGUAACGGUAAAAGAAUAUCUUUUUCUAUUGAAAAAAAAGGAUCUUUCAUUCAUAAAAAAAAAUAAAAUAGCAUUCAUAUUUAAAACAUAUGUAUUUUAUUUAUAAUAUAAUAAAUGAUUAAGGGUAAAAAAUGGAAUUUAGUUAGAAUAAUAAGGGUAAAAUUGGAAUUAAAAAUGAUAAGCUAUAAGCUCAAACGCUACUUGGAAUAGCUUCUGAAAAAUGGCUCGUGAAAUAAGCUAUAAGCUCAUGGUGAAAAAGUGUUACCAAACAAAACUUUUUUUUUAUCAAACGAGCUUAUAAGCUAUAAGCUAAGAACUAAAAGCUUUUUUUGGGUGUUACCAAACAAUAUUAUGAUACAUUUAAAUAUUGAGAUAUUAUUUGAUAUCUAUGUACUUUAUCCAUUUCCUAAUAAGCUAUUAAUUUUAAUGUUAGUGCCUAUGUCAUUGAUGAUCAGAACUGGUCUAUAAUUAAAACAAAUUCUUCCUAUUCACAUUUGCACCAAAAUAGCAAGUCUCAUAAACCUCUUUCCACGAGAGGCAUGAUGAUUUUUCAAUAUGGAAAUUUUCUAAUAAUGGUUUCUUUACUAUCAAUUGCCUACCAUGCUAUGAUUCCUGAGGAACCCAACCUUAUAGAGGGUCCUAAUUUCAACUUAGUGCGGAAAUGGAUAGGUCCUUCCAGAAUAUAUACCUUCCUUUGGAAGCUCUCUCAUGAGAAGUUCUUAACUAAUGCUGAAAGAAAGCAUCGCUGUACGUAUGUUAGAUACUUAUGUUUGUCCAAGAUGCUCUCAAGCACCGGAAACCAUCAUGCAUGUGCUUAGAGACUAUGACUUAGUUAAGAAUGUAUGCAAUGAAUUUUUGUGUUUGCUAGCUUGAAUUAAAAUAACGGUUGUUAGUCGGUUAAUCUUAAAUUUUGCAGAGAUGAGAACGAGGGAAAUGGGGACCAUCUAGGUGGGAAUACUGUUAAAUAUCUAAAAAAAUACUUCAUCCGUUUCAUAAUAAAUGUCAUUUUACAUUUCCAAUACAACUUUAAUUUUUUUCUCCCAACUUUACCCUUAAUAAAUACUCAAACUUUUCUCUCGCACAAUUUUCAAUGCAAUUUUAAGUUUGUCUUUUUCUUGAGCAGUAUAGUAAAAGUGUUAUGUCUAAUGAUUAUUUCAUUUCGUUUCUUAAUUUGUGUGCAAUUUGCUAAAACGACACCCAUUUUAAAACGGAUGAAAUAUUAAAUAAAUAAAUAAAAUAUUGUGUACCCCGAUACAUCCAUUUAUACCUUCAAAGCCAAAGAAUCAGAGAGAAUAGGGUGAUACUCUAUCCGGUCCUAUUUAUAAGAAAAAGUUGACCUUUUAAAUUUAUUGUGUAAUUAAUAUAUCUUGUCUAGAAUAUAGACCAAAUACAUCAUUUAUACAAUAAAUUAAAAAAGUUAAAUAUUUCUUAUAAAUAAGAUGGGAGUAAAUUAUAUGUUAUGGCAUGUAAGCAUGUCUGAAAUUUCUUAAUCAUAAGUUUCUUAGUGAAUAAAGUAGAGUGCAUGUUUAUCCACUGCUAGAGCUAGAAGUUUAUUGCGACAAUAAAGGAUUAAUCUCUUAAUCAGGCGAAUUAAUGUUUGUUUGAAGGUUAUCAAUUACAUUUUGGGAAUACUUAGGUAGAUAAUGAGUAUACAUAUGUUUCUUAGAAGAUUGAGAAACAAUUAAUCCGGAUUAUAACGAUUUUUUAGAAUGAAAUAACUUCUUAUAACUUUGAAUAUUCUCAUGAAAUUAUUUCCAUGUUAAAGGGUGAGAAAGUAGAUUCCUAUAGAAUUUUAUAUACCUUUUUUAAAUAAAAAUAUAUAACUUUUAAAUUUCCAAGAAAUGUUAAAAGAGUGUUCCAAACAUAUUUUUUUAGAAAUAUUUAGGAAUCAAAUUCAUAACUUUAUAUUUUCAGAUAUGUUGUUAUUCCUAGAAAUAAAUUGAGUAUAAACAAACGCCCCCAAAUUAUUUAUUAUACUUCACAUCAGUUUAACUUCGCCCAUUUAUCAAAAGAAUAAUAAUUUAAAUUUAACAUACCCUUUAUUUUGUUCACUAAUGGUCGUUGCCAACUUAAUAUCUGGAAAUUUACUAACAUACAUGAUGAAUGUUGGUUUUUAUAAAAAAAACGUUAUACUAAUAAAGUACCCAUGGAAAUAUAAUAAUUUUAAAUACAUUAUUUUUGAAAUCUCUCAAAUUAUUUAUUUAAUUAGAAUUUAAAAGUACAUAGUUUUUUUUAUUGGCCUAAAGACCAACACAUACUCAAAUAAACACGGAAAAAGGACAUUAUAAUGAUUCCAAAUUUCACAUAAAAUAUCCUUACAACCAAACUAUUAGACAAGAACAACCGAAAACAAAAGUACAUAGUAUAAAAUAACUAGUCACUUGAGAGUUGAGAUAGUGGUUCAAAGCUUCAUUCCUUGAGGAUUUAGAUGGUCAUGUCAAGGCCUUUUAGAGGGAUGGUAACAGGUUCAGUGACAUGAUUCUUAUACUUCCAAAGCUUGAAUUCUCCACUCACAAAAUCAUAGUAACCUCCCAACAGAGCUAAGUUCUUGUUCCUUAUUUCUCUAUCAACAUAUGGAUAUGUCUUCAGGUUCACUAAUGAGUUAUUCACUGAUUCCUGUAUAUACAAAGUGGUGACUAAUUAAUGUUUAAAUUUUUGAAGUAUGGUUGUUGAAUGAAAAUUAAAGUAUAUAUAAUUGCAACAUAAUUAGCUAACCAUUUCACAGAAUUUGCAUUGUUCUUUGAAAUCACAGCGUUCAUGUUCUUUCAAAACCUUGACUUUGGAAGAUAAACCAAUUUUCACCCAAUCAUCUAUGAAGUCACUGCACAAUUAUUCAAUUAAACCAUAAAAACUGCAAAUAUUAACAAUUUUAUUUUAGGUUAUUGUUAUGUAGAAUUCAUGUCUUACUAUGGAGCAGAACCAUCCUCUGGAUGAUUCAUAAGCCUUGAGAUUCCGCCGCAGCGACUAUGUCCAAUAACCAAGAUGUUCUCCACCUGAAAAAAGUAAUUAAUUUUUAUCCAAAAAAAAAAAAGUAUAAUGAUUUGUUUUUCUUUUAGAAAGUUAUGGCAAAAAGAUUUUAUGAUUUCUACCUCCUCUAAGGAAGAGCUUAAUUCUAGAAAAAAUGGAAUUUCCACGAUGAUGGCAAAAUACUCUGAUAUUAUUUGAGAAUAAAAAUUAUUAUUAUAGCCCCAAAAUGGAUUUUUGUUAGAAUCAUUAUCCAAAAUGAUGAUUAUUGAUUCAGCCUCAAUCGCAAUCACAUUAGAGUUACAAACCUUAACAUGUCAUGUCACAAUCACAAACAAAUUUUAAAACACUUUUGAAUAGAAGCUGAUCACUUACCUUUAGAGCUGUAAUAGCAUACUCAAGGGUUGCACCAACUCCACUGUAUCUUAACUGUGGAAUAGAAAUUUAAUUAUUAAAAACUCUUCAAUAAUGUGUAUAUCAUAUAGAAAUUCAUUUCUUUAGAAAAAUAGUGAAGUAGACCUGAUUAAAUGGAGGGACCAUGUUAGCAAUGUUUCGAACCAUGAAAGCUUCACCAGGUUGAAAGUUCAGGAUAACAGAGGGACUCACUCGAGAGUCGGAACAAGCAAAUACCAUAAACUACAACACAAAUAAAAUGAAAAAUAGAUUAAUAUUAAAUGAAACAAAAAAGAUUUUUGUAUAAAUAAAGAUCUAAUAAUUAAUCACCUUGGGAGACUGGCCUUUAGCAAGUCGAUCAUACAGUUCCGGGUUCUUGCUGCCAUAUAUAAAAGGAAGCAUGCAUGAAUUCAAUUUUCCAAUUUUAAAAUUGAUGAAAGGAGAACUUAUUAUAAAAUAAAUUAACACUAAUGAAUAUUUUAGGGUGAUGCAAAUGGAAUUUGAACUCUUUCCCUUUAAAUUAUAAGUUCAAACUCUUACGAGAACUCAUUAAACCAUGAAUCCUGAUUAUAAAGGACUUGAUAUUCGAAAAUGAACUAACUAUAGGCAUCAUAUUAAAAUUUUAUUUAAUUUGCAAGUUUACUUGAAAUUGUUGAGCUUGAAGUACGUAAAACCAUCAAUGAUUCUCUGAUCAGCAGGUUCAAUUGGAUUUGGAUGACAUCCCUGUAAUUCAACUAUAAGCUGCUCAAUUUUUGCUGUGGCCACCCCAUUAAGUUCCUCCUUCUCUCUGUAACCAAUAAGUAAUACUAUAUGUUAUAAUUUAUGUAUCAUUAAAUUGAAUUAUGUGUGCAUUUUUAUUUCUUGUUAGAAAAGUAAUUAACCUGAGAAGCUUCUUCAGUUGUUCAAUGGCUAGCUCAGAUGAUUGAUUUGCCAUAGUUAUCCCUUUCUGCAGGUUGUCAAAAAUUGUAAUUAAUUUAAACUACUUAAAAGAAAUAACAAUUUAGUAUGGUAAAAUGCAUGAUGUUGAAGCAAGGAUUAUGGAUUGAAGGGAUAAUGUUGAAGAAUUGAUAGAUACCCUAUGCAGUGAGAAAUAUUUAGAGAUGAUAGGUGCCGAUAC